GCUCCUUGGAUGCAAGAGCACAAACACCUCAGUGUGAAGGUUUCCUCUGGAGAAGGAGCAACCUGCAUCUGGAAUGUGAGCUGCUGUCUUAGCUGCUACCAAGCUGAUGAUGGGGCAUGGUAAGCAGGGAGAAGACCUGGAAAACACUGCUAGACCAACUCAAAAUUACAAAGUUUUCCAGAGCUUAUAUGUCUUCUAAGCCAUAUGUCUAUGUCUGCAGGAAUGUAGACAAUUCAGAGGCUUUGUUCCCCAUAAUUUGGAACUUUUCUUCAGAUUUGACCAAGUCGGGUAGAGAUGAUCAAACCUAAUGGGAAAAAGACUGAAACAACAAAAACAGAAACAGGCAAACACAACCAGGCAAACUCAACCAAUUGUCAACCAGAAGAUGUUUAAAUUCACCUAUAGCCUGGAAGCACACCCCACCCUAUCCCGUUUUUGAGUUGUCCCGCCUUUCUGGACCAAACCAAUGUAUUUCCUAAAUGUAUUUGAUUGAUGUCUCAUGCUUCUCUAAAAUGUAUACAACCAAGCCGUGCCCUGACCACCUGGGGCACAUGUUCUCAGGACCUCCUGAGGGCUGUGUCACAGGCCACGGUCACUCGGCUCAGAAUAAAUCUCUUCAAUUAUGUAAGAGUUCAACUCUUUUUGUCGACAUAUGGUAUGGAUUUGUGUGUAUACUUCUUCCCCAG
rnacentral:lncRNA from 1 species